UACGAAGGGGGCUAGCGUUGCUCGGAAUGACUGGGCGUAAAGGGCGCGUAGGCGGUUUGCACAGUCAGGCGUGAAAUUCCCGGGCUUAACCUGGGGGCUGCGUUUGAUACGUGCGGACUUGAGGAUGAGAGAGGCUCGUGGAAUUCCCAGUGUAGAGGUGAAAUUCGUAGAUAUUGGGAAGAACACCGGCGGCGAAGGCGGCGAGCUGGCUCAUUUCUGACGCUGAGGCGCGAAAGCGUGGGGAG
rnacentral:rRNA from 1 species